rnacentral:rRNA from 1 species
GAACUUUCCAGAGAUGGAUUGGUGCCUUUCGGGAACUUAGAUACAGGUGCUGCAUGGCUGUCGUCAGCUCGUGUCGUGAGAUGUUGGGUUAAGUCCCGNAACGAGCGCAACCCUUUUCCUUAUUUGCCAGCGGGUCAUGCCGGGAACUUUAAGGAUACUGCCAGUGACAAACUGGAGGAAGGCGGGGACGACGUCAAGUCAUCAUGGCCCUUACGGCCAGGGCUACACACGUGCUACAAUGGUCGGUACAAAGGGUUGCUACCUCGCGAGAGGAUGCUAAUCUCAAAAAGCCGAUCGUAGUCCGGAUCGCAGUCUGCAACUCGACUGCGUGAAGUCGGAAUCGCUAGUAAUCGCGGAUCAGAAUGCCGCGGUGAAUACGUUCCCGGGCCUUGUACACACCGCCCGUCACACCAUGGGAGUUUGUUGCACCAGAAGUAGGUAGUCUAACCGCAAGGAGGACGCUUACCACGGUGUGGCCGAUGACUGGGGUGAAGUCGUAACAAGGUAGGCGUAGAUGA